AACGAACGCUGGCGGCAUGCCUAACACAUGCAAGUCGAACGAGACCUUCGGGUCUAGUGGCGCGCGGGUGCGUAACGCGUGGGAACCUGCCCUUAGGUUCGGAAUAACUCCCCGAAAGGGGUGCUAAUACCGGAUAAUGUCUUCGGACCAAAGAUUUAUCGCCUUUGGAUGGGCCCGCGUUGGAUUAGCUAGUUGGUAGGGUAAAAGCCUACCAAGGCGACGAUCCAUAGCUGGUCUGAGAGGAUGAUCAGCCACACUGGGACUGAGACACGGCCCAGACGCCUACGGGAGGCAGCAGUGGGGAAUAUUGGACAAUGGGCGAAAGCCUGAUCCAGCAAUGCCGCGUGAGUGAUGAAGGCCUUAGGGUUGUAAAGCUCUUUUACCCGGGAUGAUAAUGACAGUACCGGGAGAAUAAGCUCCGGCUAACUCCGU
rnacentral:rRNA from 1 species